rnacentral:rRNA from 1 species
CCAGACUCCUACGGGAGGCAGCAGUGGGGGAUAUUGGACAAUGGGGGGAACCCUGAUCCAGCGACGCCGCGUGAGUGAAGAAGUAUUUCGGUAUGUAAAGCUCUGUCAGCAGGGAAGAAAGAAAUGACGGUACCUGACCAAGAAGCCCCGGCUAACUACGUGCCAGCAGCCGCGGUAAUACGUAGGGGGCAAGCGUUAUCCGGAAUUACUGGGUGUAAAGGGAGCGUAGACGGUUAAGUAAGUUUGGAGUGAAAGGCCGGGGCCCAACCCCGGGACUGCUUUGGAAACUGUGUAACUGGAGUACAGGAGGGGCAGGCGGAAUUCCUGGUGUAGCGGUGAAAUGCGUAGAUAUCAGGAGGAACACCGGCGGCGAAGGCGGCCUGCUGGACUGAAACUGACGUUGAGGCUCGAAAGCGUGGGGAGCAAACAGGAUUAGAUACCCGCGUA